CCUGCACACUGUUAAAGCUUGAUGCUGAGGUCAGUUUUUGGCCGAUGAGCUCUCAAGUGUCGGAAGUGUGCUACAGCAAACUGCAUGGCAGGGUGUUCGCUAACGCCAGGAGAGGGGCUCCCUCUGUGAGUGGAGUUUGAUAGUAGGCCCUGCCACACGC
ensembl:snoRNA SNORA62 Small nucleolar RNA SNORA62/SNORA6 family